rnacentral:lncRNA from 1 species
UGGGCAUGUGACAGCUAGAUAAAUGAGUUCUUUUAAUUGGCUUAGUGAACAUGAGUGGCUGAGUCUAUAUUGUUAGGGUCACCAAAGGACUAGGGCAGAUUCUGUCCUCAUUCUAUAGAUGGUGAAACUGAGCCUCAGAGUGUUAAGUCAGUACUGAAAAGAUAUGUGGAACUGCUCUUCUUAUUCCUGCUGUGUUUCCAGGGACUCAGUGAAUGAAGUGAAAGUCACCUCAGAAAGACAUGGAGGCACAGGUCUGCAAUCAUGGUGCUUGGAAAGUGGAACAGGCCAAAAGAGCUGAUAAAUUCCCUGCUUUGACAGUACCUAAUAUUAGCAAUGAACAUUGAGGAACCAGUCUGGAAUGCUGUACUGUCGUGGGUUCUGCAUGAUGGUGAUCACUCGCUCCACCUCAUCCUCCGUGAGUUCUCCAGCCCUCUUGGUGAGGUCGAUGUCUGCUUUCCUCAACACCAGAUGAGCAUAUCUCUGCCCCACGCCCUUAAUGGCAGUGAUGGCAAAGGCUAUUUUCCGCAGCCCAUUGAUGUUGGUGUUUGUAAAGGGCUGCAAUCUAUGUGCCGCCACUAGAUGGUGCUAAACCUCUUUGUGCGCAGCUGCGAGAGCACAGCCUGCCAAAGUCACCAGUCCGUCUCCGGGGCUUUUGCCCAACCCCUGGGGGCUUUAACCUAUCCCCAGGGUGCAUGAGGAUCAUGGGUGUUGCUACCAGUCCUAGUUUAGACACGUCACCAAAAGUAUUUAAGCCACACACUUUCUGAGCCUUCUUUGUCUACCUCAAUAUGA